rnacentral:tRNA from 1 species
GUCACUAUGUUCGAGCGGUUAAGGAGUUAGACUUGAAAUCUAAUGGGCUAUGCCCGCGCAGGUUCAAGUCCUGCUGGUGACG